ensembl:lncRNA
GUAGCAAAACAAACCAGUGGAUGUAUGCACACAUUCACUUCCAGAAAUACAAUCAUGCAAAACUAAAAAAACAAACAUUGAAAAACAAAACAAGAACCUGCACUUUCAGCUAUAUGGCUUAUCUUGUCAAACUUCCAAGUUCUAGAAAUAAAGGAACACUUGUUUUAUGAAAAGCCAUUCAAGUUUCUCUUUGUCGCUUAUCCAGAAUAAUUCUGCUGUUGCAUUUGAUCAAACAAAGCUAAUCAUCAUGUAAAGAACAGUAAAAUAAAAACAGCAAUUUAUUCUCGACCUCCCCCAAAUCAAAGACUGGACAUAGCCGCUCCUCUUCAUCUAUGGCAUUCAACCUCCUCAGAGGCAGUAUCCCGUUCUCAACUGGACACACAAGGAUUUCUGGUUUCUGGUUAGGUGAGAGGUGACAUACAGUUGAAGUCGGAAGUUUACAUACACCUUAGCCAAAAUCCAUUUAAACUAAAUUUCACAAUUUCUGAUAUUUAAUCCUAGUAAAUAUUCUCUGUUUUAGGUCAGUUAGGAUCACCACUUUAUUUUAAGAAUGUGAAAGGUCAGUAUAACAGCAGAGAGAAUGAUUUAUUUCAACUUUUAUUUCUUUCAUCACAUUCCCAGUGGGCCAGAAGUUUACAUUUUGGAGGUAUGCCUGGGGUCAUUGUCCAUUUGGAAGACCCAUUUGCGACCAAGCUUUAACUUCCUGACUGAUGUUGCUUCAAUGUAUCCACAUAAUUGUUCUUCCUCAUGAUGCCAUCUAUUCUGAGAAGUGCACCAGUUCCUCCUGCAGCUAAGCACCCCCACAACAUGAUGCUGCCACCCCCGUGCAUCACGGUUGGGAUGGUGUUCUUCAGCUUGCAAACAUCCCCCUUUUUCCUCCAAACAUAAUGAUGGUCAUUAUGACCAGAGGAAAUUUCUCCAAAAAGUACGAUCUUUGUCCCAUGUGCAGUUGCAAACCAUAGUCUUGUUUUUUUAUGGCGGUUUUGGAGCAGUGGCUUCUUCCUUACUGAGCGGCCUUACAGGUUAUGUCGAUAUAGGACUCGUUUUACUGUGGACAUAGAUACUUUGUACCUGUUUCCUCCAGCAUCUUCACAAUGUCCUUUGCUGUUGUUCUGGGAUUGAUUGCACUUUUCGCACCAAAGUACGUUCAUCUCUAGGUGCCUGGACAUGCGCUGGCUUGAGCAGGGGGACCUUGGAGUCUGGAGAGGUUGGAGUCUGUUUGAUUGAGUGUGUGGACAGGUGUCUUUUAUACAGGACCUGAGCCCUAGGACCAUUCCCCAGGACUACCUGACAUGAUGACUCCUUGCUGUCCCCAGUCCACCUGGCCGUGCUGCUGCUCCAGUUUCAACUGUUCUGCCUUAUUAUUAUUCGACCAUUCUGGUCAUUUAUGAACAUUUGAACAUCUUGGCCAUGUUCUGUUAUAAUCUCCACCCGGCACAGCCAGAAGAGGACUGGCCACCCCACAUAUGCUCUC